GAUGAACGCUAGCGACAGGCCUAACACAUGCAAGUCGAGGGGCAGCGGGGAUGAAGCUUGCUUCAUCUGCCGGCGACCGGCGCACGGGUGAGUAACACGUAUGCAACCUGCCCGCCACAGGGGGAUAAACGCUGGAAACGGCGCCUAAUACCCCAUACUAUCGCUAUGCUGCAUGGCAUGGCGAUGAAAACUCCGGUGGUGGCGGAUGGGCAUGCGGCGCAUUAGCUAGUUGGAGGGGUAACGGCCCACCAAGGCGACGAUGCGUAGGGGGUUCUGAGAGGAAGGUCCCCCACACUGGAACUGAGACACGGUCCAGACUCCUACGGGAGGC
rnacentral:rRNA from 1 species